rnacentral:rRNA from 1 species
ACGGAGGGUGCGAGCGUUAAUCGGAAUAACUGGGCGUAAAGGGCACGCAGGCGGGCUGAUAAGUAAGGUGUGAAAUACCGGGGCUCAACCUCGGGGCUGCAUUUUAAACUGUCAGUCUAGAGUAUUGCAGAGGGAGACGGAAUUCCGGGUGUAGCGGUGAAAUGCGUAGAUAUCCGGAAGAACACCGGAGGCGAAGGCGGUCUUCUGGGCAAAUACUGACGCUCAGGUGCGAAAGCGUGGGGAGCAAACAG